rnacentral:rRNA from 1 species
UACGGGGGGAGCAAGCGUUGUUCGGAUUUACUGGGCGUAAAGGGCGCGUAGGCGGCCACCGCAAGUCGACUGUGAAAUCUCCGGGCUUAACCCGGAAAGGUCAGCCGAUACUGCGGGGCUAGAGUGCAGAAGGGGCAACUGGAAUUCUCGGUGUAGCGGUGAAAUGCGUAGAUAUCGGGAGGAACACCAAUGGCGAAGGCAGCUCGCUGGGACGUGACUGACGCUGAGACGCGAAAGCUAGGGGAGCAAACGGG